AAACCUCAACCUCCUUGGUUUCUUCUGGAGACCGAAGGAGGCUUGGACUUUGGAGGCCUUUGCUGGUGUCUCUGCCAGCUCCUCUCAAAUGAAUUAGCGGGGUCCUCUUUGCCGAUCCUUGACAUGUGAUAAGAUGCUUCCGUGUCUUGGUUUCUGGCUCUGUUGCUCUCGGGACCUGCUUCUAAACUGUCUAGACCUCGCGUCGAGACAAUGUUCGAGCUCGUCUCCCUUUCUGGGAAACCUUCUUGACCCCACGAAC
rnacentral:misc_RNA from 1 species